rnacentral:rRNA from 1 species
GUUUGAUUCUGGCUCAGGAUGAACGCUGGCGGCAUGCCUAAUACAUGCAAGUCGAACGGAGUGAAGCCUUCGGGUUUCAUUCAGCGGCGAACGGGUGAGUAAUACGCAGGGAACCUGGCCAUGGCAGGGGGAUACACUCUGGAAACGGAGCAUAAGACCCCAUAGGCAGUAAGGCGGCAUCGCCUUACUGUUAAAGAAAGCUGAAAGGCUUUGGCGAUGGAUGGACCUGCGGUGCAUUAGCUUGUUGGUGAGGCAACGGCUUACCAAGGCGAUGAUGCAUAGCCGGCCUGAGAGGGCGGACGGCCACACUGGGACUGAGACACGGCCCAGACUCCUGCGGGAGGCAGCAGUAGGGAAUUUUCGUCAAUGGGCGCAAGCCUGAACGAGCAAUGCCGCGUGAGUGAGGAAGGUCUUCGGACUGUAAAGCUCUGUUGCCGGGGAAAAAGGGGAAAUGCAGGAAAUGGCAUUUCAUGGAUGGUACCCGGCCAGAAAGCCACGGCUAACUACGUGCCAGCAGCCGCGGUAAUACGUAGGUGGCGAGCGUUACCCGGAAUGAUUGGGCGUAAAGGGUGCGCAGGCGGUCUGUUAAGUCUGAAGGCAAAGGGAUGAGCUCAACUCAUUUAUGAUUCAGAAACUGGCAGACUUGAGGACAGGAGAGGGCGGUGGAACUCCAUGUGUAGCGGUAAAAUGCGCAGAGAUAUGGAAGAACACCAGUGGCGAAGGCGGCCGCCUGGCCUGUGACUGACGCUGAGGCACGAAAGCGUGGGGAGCAAAUAGGAUUAGAUACCCUAGUAGUCCACGCCGUAAACGAUGAGGAGCAGGUGUUGGGAGUGAAAUCUCAGUGCCGAAGCCAACGCAGUGACUCCUCCGCCUGGGGAGUAUGCACGCAAGUGUGAAACUCAAAGGAAUUGACGGGGGCCCGCACAAGCGGUGGAGUAUGUGGUUUAAUUCGAAGCAACGCGAAGAACCUUACCAGGUUUUGACAUCGGAUGCGAAGGCGCAGAGAUGCGCUGGAGGCUAUCAUCCAGACAGGUGGUGCAUGGUUGUCGUCAGCUCGUGUCGUGAGAUGUUCAGUUAAGUCUGGCAACGAGCGCAACCCCCGUGGUAUGUUACUAACGCAUUUGGGCGAGGACUCAUAUCAGACUGCCGGUGACAAACCGGAGGAAGGCGGGGAUGACGUCAAAUCAUCAUGCCCCUUAUGACCUGGGCUACACACGUACUACAAUGGCGUCUACAGAGGGAAGCGACCCUGAGAAGGGAAGCGAAACCGGAAAAGGGCGUCCCAGUUCGGAUUGAAGUCUGCAACCCGACUUCAUGAAGAUGGAAUCGCUAGUAAUCGCGGAUCAGCAUGCCGCGGUGAAUACGUUCCCGGGCCUUGUACACACCGCCCGUCAAACCAUGGAAGCCGGCAACGCCCGAAGCCGGUGGCAUAACCUUUUAGGAGUGAGCCGUCGAAGGCGGGGCCGAUGACUGGGGUUAAGUCGUAACAAGGUAACC